UACGAAGGGGGCUAGCGUUGCUCGGAAUCACUGGGCGUAAAGCGCACGUAGGCGGAUCUUUAAGUCAGGGGUGAAAUCCUGGAGCUCAACUCCAGAUCUGCCUUUGAUACUGGUGAGCUUGAGCCCGGAAGAGGUGAGUGGAACUGCGAGUGUAGAGGUGAAAUUCGUAGAUAUUCGCAAGAACACCAGUGGCGAAGGCGGCUCACUGGUCCGGUACUGACGCUGAGGUGCGAAAGCGUGGGGAGCAAACAGG
rnacentral:rRNA from 1 species